CCAGAGUUCAACUGUUAGUGUUUUGCCUAUGUCUGUUUGCCACGUUGUUUGGAACUUUUCUCUAACCUCGCCUGGGGGGUCUGACAAUAACUUGUAUAAGUUGGAGAUCAGUUUGUUUGGUACCUUCCUGAUUGUGCAAAUUCCCUCAAUGUUCUUUGCUCUUUUAGGUGUGGUAACCUCUGUGUCAUGUUCCAGGAGUGACUUGAGUUGGAGGUAAGAGAACAAGGAUUGCGGCGGUAGGUCGUAUCGGUUCUGGAGGUCUGGGAAUUGCAUUAAGGUGGUAUUAUGAUAAAGAUGUUUGACUAACGUACAGCCGCCCCUUUCCCAUGGUUUGUAAUUGAAUGAGGGGUCAGCUAUGUGUAUGCUCUGUAUCGGGGUUGCUAAAGACCAUUGUUUCGUGUAUCCCAGCUGAGGUUUCGUGGCAUCCCACGUCCUCAGUAGGAGUGCUGUGGUAUCGGGUAUGCCUGUGGGCUUGGGGCGUAGGUGGUGGGGCAUCCAAAAUAGGUGGUGUAGCCCUUUUGGGCAUGUCCACAUUGUUUCUAUGUCUACCCAUUGCAGUCUAUCUUCUACCUUGUGUGUCAGCAGCACCGUGGCUAUUAGGGACGCUUUGUAGUAUGCGCUCACAUCUGGUAG